AUACUUGUAUUGGGAAGGCAUAUUUGAAAUGUGAAGUUUUGCUAGAGCAUGGACUUAAAAGUAGAAAAGCUUUGCCUGUAUUUGUGAGUCAAGGAAAGGCAUCCUUAAUUCUGACUAAAGCUUGGCUUAUAUGGCUGCAGAUUGCAUUUAGUUGUCCAGUGAUGCUUACAUUCCUAUGGUUUGUGAUAAUUUCAGGAGGAGCUACCUAUUGUCUCUUACCUUUUUUAAUUGGCUAAUUUUUAAAAACUGCCUUGCUUUUUGAAGUUCUCUGAGAAAAAGGUAUCCAAGGUGCCUGUGCAAAGGUACAAACAAUUAAAAUACACCAAGAUAAAAUUCUUUGACUCAGUAUUCAUCAGUCACUAAUACCAGGCAGUUGUCAUCUAUUCAUUAAGAGCCUCUGUAGAACUUGAAAACCUUGUUGGAAAUAGUAUUGCAGUGAACCUCAGAAGUUGGGAAACAGAGACAAAUCUGCCCCUUGUCUUCUAGCUUUCAUUCUGGUCAGUGUCCAGUGAGAAUUUACUUCACAGCAAAUAAACACUGACUUAAGAAAAAGUAACUGGAAAAUCUUGUCCAAGUAAAAUACUUUAAGGAACAAUGAAAUAGCUUAUAGCAUCUCCUGAUGAGUGGAAGAGGGUCAGUGCAAUAUAUCAGCCUUCUCUUCUGUUGCUGCGAAGCCUUUUUUAUGUACUGAUGCAGCUCGUUAUUAGUGGCCUUCAUUCAUUUCUUAAUCAUAAAGCUGGCUCGGCUACAAAACCUGGUUUAUAUGUUCAGUUGUAAGAAGAUGAGUUGAUACAGUUUUGAUUCUUUUAAUUUAAACUAGCUUUUAAUGUAGCUAGAAGUGAGUAUACAUGGGGAAAUCAGUCUCUGAAAUUGAAUCACUACAAUUGGAUUUCCAGAAAACUCUUUCUAAACUAACUUAGACCAGAUAGGUAGUGUAGAUAAACUGUCGCACUAAAUAUGAGAAUAGUUAUUCAGCUUUUUUGUCAGCUCCUGGUACCUUUACUUGUUUUUAGUUGUUUCUACUCCAAUUCAAGCUCUGUAAAUGUCUCCUGACAUCAGUAGAGUGUAAGGCAUGAGAAGUAUAUGUAGGGGAAAAGGCAUCUCAUAGAAUCUGCCAGUUGUCUUUAAUUCUUUUCCCUUUCUCAGAGAUCACUAGGUGUUCAGUCAGACUGUGAGCCUUUCUGGAAACUCCUUUUUGUUUUUUAAAAAAAACUUCAUUUAGGAAUAGUCCACUGAAACCUGUAAGACUCAAAUGCAAGUAAUCCACAAGUACAAAAUUCUGCAUUUUGUACUCCUUUCAGUGUCCCGAAGACUAGCAGAUCUGUAUCCAAAAUACAGAUUACAUACACCUCCUUGCACUUACCUUUAGGGGUAGUGUCAUCUUGAUGACUCUAUGUAUUAUGCAAAUAGUGCUUAGGUAAUUAGGGAUGGCUGUAUGGCAUAUGCCUUAACAAGGUGGAAUUAUUUUUGUUCUUCUUUAAAUAUUUAAAAGCAAAAGCUGGUGGGAUAUGGUUUUCAGACUUCAGGAUGUAUUUUAAGGUCUUGUAUGCUUAGGUUGCCCUUGGUCUCCAGAGCUGCUGUCUUUUGACAGGUAACAUAAACCAGCAAAAGAUUCUAGCUAGGCUACCUUCUGCUUUUGCUACAGCUUCAGUAUUGUUUGGUGUAGGAGUAUGUGUUCGCUUAAGUUACUGCUAGGGUUGUUCUCAUUCUAACUCUUACAUGCAGCGACUCCAAGGAAUCCAUGUCUUUUCUACUGCUUACUGCUGUUGUAUGCUUGUACUGGGGAAGAGAUGGGAAACUUGGGUUUAUUUCUCCUCUCAUUAUUGUUACUGUUGUGGUGGUUUAAGUCCAGCCAGCAACUAAGCACUGUGCAGCCACUCACUCCUGGCUCCCAGUGGGGUGAGGGGGAGAAUUGUAAAAAAGUAAAACUCAUGGAUUGAGAUAAGAACAGUUUAAUAACUAAAAUAGAAUAAAAUAUAACAAUAAUAAUAAUAAUCAUUGUAAUGAAAAUGAAUAUAACGAAGAGAGAAAUAAUGGCCAAGAAGAGACAAGUGAUGCACAAUGCAAUUGCUUACCACCUGCUGACCAGUGCCUCAGCAGUGAUUUGCCCCUCCUGGCCAACUCUCCCUAGUAUCUAUAUGGAGCAUGACAUCCUAUAGUAUGGAAUAUCCCUUUGGCUGGUUCGGGCCAGCUGUCCUGGUGAUGCUUCCUCCCAGCUUCAUGUGCAUCUCCUCUUUGGCAAAGCAUGGGAAAGUGAAAAGUCUUUUGCUUAGGAUAAGUACUACUUAGCAACUACUAAAACAUCAGUGUGUUAUCAACAUUAUUCUCACACUAAAUCCAAAACACAGCACUGUAUGAGCUAGUAGGAA